GACGAACGCUGGCGGCGUGCUUAACACAUGCAAGUCGAACGGUGAAGCUCCAGCUUGCUGGAGUGGAUCAGUGGCGAACGGGUGAGUAACACGUGAGCAACCUGCCCCUGACUCUGGAAUAAGCGCUGGAAACGGCGUCUAAUACUGGAUACGAGAAGGGUCCGCAUGGGCACUUUCUGGAAAGUUUUUCGGUUGGGGAUGGGCUCGCGGCCUAUCAGCUUGUUGGUGAGGUAAUGGCUCACCAAGGCGACGACGGGUAGCCGGCCUGAGAGGGCGACCGGCCACACUGGGACUGAGACAAGGCCCAGACUCCUACGGGAGGCAGCAGUGGGGAAUAUUGCACAAUGGGCGAAAGCCUGAUGCAGCGACGCCGCGUGAGGGAUGACGGCCUUCGGGUUGUAAACCUCUUUCAGCAGGGAAGAAGCGAAAGUGACGGUACCUGCAGAAGAAGCACCGGCUAACUACGUG
rnacentral:rRNA from 1 species